rnacentral:rRNA from 1 species
GCACAAUGGGCGGAACCCUGAUGCAGCGACCCCGCGUGAGGGAUGACGGCCUUCGGGUUGUAAACCUCUUUCAGCAGGGACGAAGCGAGAGUGACGGUACCUGCAGAAGAAGCACCGGCCAACUACGUGCCAGCAGCCGCGGUAAGACGUAGGGUGCGAGCGUUGUCCGGAUUUACCGGGCGUAAAGAGCUCGUAGGCGGCUUGU